AACGAACGCUGGCGGCAUGCCUAACACAUGCAAGUCGAACGAGACCUUCGGGUCUAGUGGCUCACGGGUGCGUAACGCGUGGGAACCUGCCCUUAGGUUCGGAAUAACUCCCCGAAAUGGGUGCUAAUACCGGAUAAUGUCUUCGGACCAAAGAUUUAUCGCCUUUGUAUGGGCCCGCGUUGUAUUAGCUAGUUGGUAUGGUAAAAGCCUACCAAGGCGACGAUCCAUAGCUGGUCUGAGAGGAUGAUCAGCCACACUGGGACUGAGACACGGCCCGGACUACUACGGGAGGCAGCAGUGGGGAAUCUUGGACAAUGGGCGAAAGCAUGAUCCAGCAAUGCUGCGUGAGUGAUGAAGGCCUUAGGGUUGUAAAGCUCUUUUACCCGCGAUGAUAAUGACAGUACCGGGAGAAUAAGCUCCGGCUAACUCCGUG
rnacentral:rRNA from 1 species